UUAGUGGAGUUUUUUAACUCCACAAAUAAAAUUAAAUGAUUGACA
rfam:Gossypium raimondii Chr12_contig_773, whole genome shotgun sequence.